UACGAAGGGGGCUAGCGUUGCUCGGAAUUACUGGGCGUAAAGCGCACGUAGGCGGCUUUCUAAGUCGGGGGUGAAAUCCUGGAGCUCAACUCCAGAACUGCCUCGAUACUGGAAAGCUCGAGUCCAGGAGAGGUGAGUGGAACUGCGAGUGUAGAGGUGAAAUUCGUAGAUAUUCGCAAGAACACCAGUGGCGAAGGCGGCUCACUGGCCCGGUACUGACGCUGAGGUGCGAAAGCGUGGGGAGCAAACAGG
rnacentral:rRNA from 1 species